rnacentral:tRNA from 1 species
GCUAUAUUGACAGAUAAUUGUGUUGAAUUUAGAAUUCAUUUAUGUAAAAUAUUUACAUAUAGUA